rnacentral:rRNA from 1 species
GCGAGUUAAUCUCAGUGGCGAGUUAAGGAGUGACACCCGAAGCCGUAGCGAAAGCGAGUCUUAAUAGGGCGUAUAGUCGCUGGGAUUAGGCCCGAAACCGUGUGAGCUACCCAUGGGCAGGGUGAAGCGAGUCUAAUCACUCGUGGAGGCCCGAACCACUAACGUUGCAAAGUUAGGGGAUGACCUGUGGGUAGAGGUGAUAUGCCAAUCGAACACGGAGAUAGCUGGUUCUCCCCGAAAUAGCUUUAGGGCUAGCGUCAUGCGUUUAGAACUGGAGGUACAGCACUGAAUGGGCUAUGGGGCUUACAGCUUACAGAACCCAAUCAAACUCGGAAUGCCAGUUCUCCAUAGCAUGGCAGUCGGACUCCGGGAGAUGAGUUUCGGGGUCGAAAGGGAAACAGCCCAGAUCAUCGGCUAAGGUCCUAAAAUCUAUGCUAAGUGGGAAACGAGGUGAGGUUACUUAAACAACCAGGAGGUUGGCUUAGAAGCAGCCACCCUUUAAAAAAGUCACUAGACCAGUAAGCUGUUACGC